GGUCCACAUAAUAUUCUCAUUCAAUAAAUACUAAUCUUUUACUUCUAAGGCUGCCUAUAAGGAAUAAUUUGAAAUGAUCAAAUGAAAACGUACCUUUACACGUUAAUUCACACACUUUCUGAACAUUUACUACUGUACAGGCCUUCUGGGCUUAGUGCAGGAGAUGGGGGACCGGGACAGCCCUCUCACUUCGAGGCGUGCACAGAUGUGGGGAAGAGUUCAAAGGCUGUGAAAAAAAAAAAUCACUUUUCCAUUCCUCUCUGCUCUAAAGCCUUCAUGGAUUAUUUGUCUGCCUUCUUCUAGAAAUCACCUCAUCCAGGAAGCUCCUAAGAAUGUCACAGUGGUGGGCAGGGGUGAGGGGAGCCGGUGGAAGAUGCAGGGGUGCUAGGCGCUGAGGGUGAGGCCCCAGAGUGCGACCAGAACUGGGGCAGUGGGCUGCAGCAGGAGUCAAGAGCCAGUACUGCCAUCUGCUGGCCAGGGAGGUCUCCCACACCCAUCCUGUGGUGGGAGUUGGAGUCAAAGCCAGAUGCCAGGGGAGGGACACUAUCACAGCUUGUUCAGACACCAGGAAACUGACGGAUGCAAAGGGACCUGCUCAAGAUCAGUCCUGGGGAAUAACGUCGCUGCUCUUCCAGUAAUGACCUGCCCUGUCCCUGUCUAUCCUCUCCAAGCCAGCCCUGCACAGUCUUUUGUUUGGCUUGGUCAGAAGUCAAUAAGAUGUGAAAGAGACUUUUGAAAUCUUAGAGGGAAAACAAACCCCCAGCUUCUACCUGGAAGACAUCAUCUCCUGCGAUGUCAGCAAUUCACACGGAAGCCCUGACAAGGCUCUUCUUCUGGCAGCAGUGGCCAGGAUGAGUGGGGAGGAAGGUACUUGGAGGGCAGAGCGGCCUGUGCAGACUAGACUCAGAUGCUUGGGUUUCCACCUCCUGCAACACGAGGACAGCACAGUGCCAGAUUCCUCUUUGGAACAGUGCGAGCACUGCUGGAACUCACCUUCUCGUGAGCACACCCACUGGCACUUGUGCACCCACCCACUCCCAGUGAAGGAGCGCUUUUUAGGUAGAAUGCUCUUCACUUUGCUUCCAGAGGUGAACAGCAAAUGGGAUGAGACCCAAGAUGGACAUUCUCAGAUGACUUGGUCUGCCAGGGCCAGACCAGAGCUGCCCUAGCCCAAGUGUUAGUAGACAAAACAGCUUUAUACAGAAAAAAGAAUCUAUACUAAAGUACUAAACUAGCACUUUACCCUCAUAGAUUAAACUCUAAGGUAGUGGUUCUCAACCCUUCACCACCCUUUUGGGAGUUGAACGACCCUUUCACAGGGGUCGCCUAAAUACACCCUGCAUAUCAGAUAUUUACAUUACAAUUUAUGACAGUAGCAAAAUUACAGUUAUGAAGUAGCAACGAAAAUAUUAUGGUUGGGGGUCUCCACAACAUGAAGGACUGUAUUAAAGGGUUGUGGCAUUAGGAAGGUUGAGAACCACUGCUCUAAGGUGAUCCUUGGAGAUUGUCUAACACAGCUCUUUUUUUUGUUGUUGUUAAUAGUUGAAGCAAUGGAGGCCCAGCAAAAGGGCCAAAACAAAAGAAGAAACUUCCAUUUCUUCUCAGGAUGCCCAGCAGGCUGAGUGAGAGCGCAUUUGGAGGCCAGGGGAGAGUGGUAUGAGAUGAGGUUCGAGAGGCAGGCGGAGAGGGGAUCACACAGGUCUUAUACACCGGCGCAUUAUUCCGUUUAGGAAGUGCAGUGAGAAGACACUGCAGGGUUUUAAGUAGGGAGUGUGACAUGAUACAACUUACAUGCUGACUACACCUUCCGUGUGGAGAACAGUUCAGGGAGAGGGGAGAGUGGAAACGGGAAGGCUGUUCAGUGGCCCAUGGCAAUAGCCCCAGUGAGAAACUGAUGACGUUGUCUAAGGUGGCAGUGGGUGGGGGUGUGUGAGGAGUAGUUAUAUCCAAAGGUACCCUGAAAGUACCCAGAUUUACUGAGGGAUUGGGAGUGUGUUGAGGAAACAGAAGAAUCAGGGAAAACCGGAUUUUAGAUUUGGGAGGAUUAGUGCCAUUUUCUGUGCCGGGCAAGUCUGAGAAGGGAGCAGUUGGCUAAGGACUUGAGAGGGGGCAGCCUAACUCUGUGAAAGGAAAGGGAGCUGGUUGACAAAUGUUUUAGGGAUUGCUUUGUUUUUUAAUUAAUAAACUUUACUUUUUAGAGCAGUAUUUAGUUCAUAGCAUUAUUUUUGAGUAGAAGGUGCAGAAAGACCGCAUAUACCCCCAACCCCAAGCCACAACCUCCCCCACUAUCAACAUCCCCCAUCAGACUGGUACAUAGGUGAAGUGAUGAACCUGCACUGACUGACCCAUCAUUAUCCCCCAGAAUCUAGAGGGUAGGGUUUAUAUUAAGGUUCAUGCUUGAUGCUGUGUGUUCUAUCGGUUUGAACUAUCAACCUUAAAUAGAGAUUCAGAAAUGAUGAUUAAGUAUAGAGUUUAUUUGAGCACAAAGCUUGAGGAUGGCCAGCUGGAAGACACCAACUCCUAACAAAUAGGGUUAGCAUUCCAAAGUGGUUUAUGGAGAAGUUAAGGUUUCACUUACUUAGGCAGAGACAGAGAAAUUGUAGCAGGAUUAUAGCAUUUUCCAUACAAGACCAGUGCGUACAUUACAAUGGUCUGCUUGGUUAUAGAUUGGUACGUUGGUACAUUCCAAAGAUGGGCAAUGAUCUAAGGGAGUCUUAUUUCUGGUGCCACUUGCUCCUACAAAUUAUUUAUAGGAAGGAAGAAAAAGGCAGAAGUUACAGCUGCAGGCCACAUGAUUCAGGCCACAUAGCCACAUUCCUCUCAAGGCUCAGAAUAAUUUAAAGUUCCAGCAACCUUAAGUUUGAAUUAUUUAAUUUCACAGAAUUCGUGUAUAAGGAUGUAUGUCCACCAUUACAGCGAUGUACAGAAUAGUUGCAUUGCCCUAAAAAUGCCCUGUGCUCUUCCUCUUCAUCCCUUCCUCCUCCUACACCCUGGCAACCACUCAUCUUUUGCUGUCUCCAGGAUAGUUUUGCCUUUCCAAGAAUGUCAUAUACAGUAAGUAGCCUUUUCAGACUGGCUUCUUUCACUUAGUAACAUGCAAUUGAGAUUCCUCCGUGUCUUUUCAAGUCUUGAUACAUCAUUUCUUUUUUCAGUGCUGAAUAAUAUUCCAUCAUCUGGAUUUAUCACCGCGGUUGUAUUCAUUCACCUCACUGAGGGACAUCUUGGCUACAUCCAAACUUUGAAAAUUAUAAAGUUGUUAUAAACAUCCAUGUACAGAUUUUUGUUUUCAGCUUCUUUGGGUAGAUACCAAACAGUGUGAUUGGUGGCUUGUAUGGUAAGAGUAUGUUUAGUUUUGUAAGAAACUGCAAAACUGUCUUCCAAAGCAGCCAAACCAUUUUGCAUCCCCACCAGCAAUGAAUGAGAAUUUCUGUCACUCCACAUCCCAGCAUUUGUCAGUGCUUUAGAAUUUUGGACAUUCAAAUAGGUGUAUAAUAUACUUUCAUAUUUUAGUAAUUUUAGAGAUCAACUAUUCAUUUCAGAAAUCCUUAAGCACGUUAGCACUAUCUCUACCCAUAAAACAAAAGCCACAGCACAGCCGGGUAUUGUUGAAAUGCAAAAAAUCUGAACAUUUGCCUGCAACUCGUAAAGAGUACUGGGGAAGACCGAGACGUAAGCUUGUGGGCAGCUGCUGAGCAAAUGAAUAUGAACCAGGCUAAGAUGGUAAGGGCAGAACCACAGAGUUCUCUCUCUGACUCUUUGUUUAAUCAAUGCAAAGUAGCAACCAGAAGAUGCUAAACUCUUAAGGAGAUUACUUGAUGUCAUUAUUGCUACCUACAGUUAACAUCCAGGAAGGCCUAACACAGGGUGCAGAACAUUGAAAGGAAAGGAAAAAGUAUACCCUAGAGAUAAAGGUCACCACUCACAAAGAGCUUGCAAAGGCUAACUUCCUUUGCCCAGGAGCAAUUAUACACUUAUUUGACUUGGGUUUACUUCUCCCUCACUUGCUAAUAACAGACCACAUACUUCUCUGCAUCCUGUAUGCUCCAUCUGUUUAGAGAAGCAGACUGUGUAAGAAUGGGAUGGGGAUGAUAACUUGUUAGAAUACAAUAGUUUUAAGGACUAACACUUACUGAUCUCCAGUACACCAGGCAGCAUUGUAAAUUUUUUAUACCUUAACUCAUGUAAUCCUCAAAACAAAUAAACAAAUAAAAAUCCUUUAAAAAUCCAUGAGGAAAAAAAAUAAAAUAAAAAAAAAUAAAAAUCCAUGAGGUAUGUACUAUUAUUAUUUCCAUUUACAGAUGUGGAAACUAAAGCAUAGUUAAUAAGUGACCAAUUUGGGAUUUUUUUCUAGUCCAUUGGAAUAUGUCCAUAGUGACUCCAAAAGUGGCAGCCAACAAGUGAAAGCACAUAAGUGGUUUUAAUAGCACUCUUGCAGCUGGAACAAAAAAAGUUAAGCGUCCCUCUUAUAUUCCAGAUUGGCCAUUCUAUAACUCAUAUAUAAAAGAAAUAGAGGUAUGUUUGAGUUUACUCUGAGAAGGGUGACCAGGAUACUGAGGGAACUCAAAACCAUGGGAUGCUAAGAGAAUUAGAAGGAACUAGAGAUAUUUAGCUUAGAGAAGGCUCAAGAGAGCCACGAGAGGUACAUUCAAAGGUUUGAAGGGGUCAUGAGGAAGAAGCUUAUCCUGUAUGAUUCCAGAAGGUAGAACUAGAUGCAUUUUAUGGAAGCUAAAGAGAACUCAAAUCUUUAGAUGGUCAAAGCCAAUGUGAAGAACAGAAAGGGCUGAGUUUCCUGGUGGUUUGCAGAAGCCCAGACCAAGAGCCAAAAGAGUGGACUUGAAUGUGCUGGGACAAGGGUACAUGAUUUCUGGGUUUAGACUCCACUUCAGCCACUUACUAGCCACAUGACCUCAGGCAACCAACGGCACCUACCAUCCUCACUUCUUGGGGUUCACGGGGCGAAGGUAAGAGCAGGCUCUAAAACUGCUUGCAUUUGUGAAGAGUUGUACAAAUGUAAGGAAUUGAUAUGGUUAAGGUACUGGCCUUUAUGUCACUGUAAUAAAAUGACUUCGUUUCAGAGGCAAUUCAGGUCAGUCUGUGAGAUGUCUGGGUUUUGUACGUGCCACACUCUCCACCACGCUCUGUAUGAUUUGAACACAGCUCUACUGUAUGCGUGUCACAGUGGAAAGGGCCGAGUGAGGUUUACUGUGUGUGUUUUCUCUGCUGAACCCAUGAGCUUGCUGAGGGAAGAAUUGUGCCUCUCAUCUCUUUGUAUUUUAAUCAGUGGUUGGUACAUGGUUUAGUCAGUAAAUGUUAGUUGGAUCAGUAGAUAAGAAAAUAAAAUGAAUGAUGUGCAGAAUAAUGGAGAAUCCUUAGAGAGUAAAGGAUUUCUGUGUAGCAACCUGGGACAAGUAGGCAGCUUCCAGAAGGAUGACUUUGAAGGGGAUGAUCUUUGCUUUAAAAUCUGAUGUGUUUGGGACUUUACGUAACAAAUGCAAUCAGUGUAACCUGGUUUCUUGUACCCUCAAUGAAUCCCCAACAAUAAAAAAAACAUUUGAUGUGUUUAUUUUAUAAUCA